rnacentral:rRNA from 1 species
AGAAUCUUUCUCAAUGGGCGCAAGCCUGAAGGAGCGACGCCGCGUGGGGGAUGAAGGGCUUCGGCCUGUAAACCCCUGUCAUUCGCGAAAAAACCCUGCCAUCUAAAAGAUAGCAGGGCUGAUGGUAGCGAAAGCGGACGGGACGGCUAACUCCGUGCCAGCAGCCGCGGUAAUACAGAGGUCCCAAGCGCUGUUCGGAUUCACUGGGCGUAAAGGGUGCGUAGGUGGUGGAGAAAGUUCGAUGUGAAAGCUCCGAGCUCAACUCGGAAAUGGCAUUGAAAACUGCUCCGCUAGAGGAUUGGAGGGGGGACUGGAAUUCUCGGUGUAGCAGUGAAAUGCGUAGAUAUCGAGAGGAACACCAGUGGCGAAGGCGAGUCCCUGGACAAUUCCUGACACUGAGGCACGAAAGCUAGGGGAGCAAAC